AUAAGAAUAGAUCAUUAUAUUAAGCCCAUGCAUGUGCCCUCAGACCUGGUUCUUUCCCUAGGUUUGGUUUUAUAAAUGCUAGUGAUAAAC
ensembl:snoRNA SNORA72 Small nucleolar RNA SNORA72